rnacentral:rRNA from 1 species
UGAGGAAUAUUGGGCAAUGGACGCAAGUCUGACCCAGCCAUGCCGCGUGAAGGAUGAAGGCGUUCUGCGUUGUAAACUUCUCUUAUCAGGGAAGAAACCUGCGUUUUCUAAUGCAGCCGACGGUACCUGAUGAAUAAGCACCGGCUAACUCCGUGCCAGCAGCCGCGGUAAUACGGAGGGUGCAAGCGUUAUCCGGAUUCACUGGGUUUAAAGGGUGUGUAGGCGGACUGUUAAGUCAGUGGCGAAAUCUCCGGGCUCAACCCGGAAACUGCCGUUGAUACUAUCAGUCUUGAAUUCUGUUGAGGUGGGCGGAAUACAUCAUGUAGCGGUGAAAUGCUUAGAUAUGAUGUAGAACACCGAUUGCGAAGGCAGCUCACUAAACAGCGAUUGACGCUGAGGCACGAAAGCGUGGGGAUCAAACAGGAUUAGAUACCCUGGUAGUCCACGCCCUAAACGAUGAUUACUCGACAUACGCGAUACACUGUGUGUGUCUGAGCGAAAGCAUUAAGUAAUCCACCUGGGAAGUACGACCGCAAGGUUG